rnacentral:rRNA from 1 species
UACGGGGGGGGGUAAGCGUUGUUCGGAAUUACUGGGCGUAAAGGGCUCGUAGGCGGCCAACUAAGUCGGACGUGAAAUCCCUCAGCUUAACUGGGGAACUGCGUCCGAUACUGGAUGGCUUGGAUUUGGGAGAGGGAUGCGGAAUUCCUGGUGUAGCGGUGGAAUGCGCAGAUAUCAGGAGGAACACCAGUAGCGAAGGCGGCUC